rnacentral:rRNA from 1 species
UGCAGUCGAACGGUGACGAGGGGCUUGCUCCUCUGAUCAGUGGCAACGGGUGAGUAACACGUGAGUAACCUGCCCUUCACUCUGGGAUAACGCUGGGAAACUGGUGCUAAUACUGGAUAUGACCUGCUCGGGCAUCCGAUGUGGGUGGAAAGAUUUAUUGGUGGAGGAUGGACUCGCGGCCUAUCAGCUUGUUGGUGAGGUAAUGGCUCACCAAGGCGACGACGGGUAGCCGGCCUGAGAGGGCGAUCGGCCACACUGGGACUGAGACACGGCCCAGACUCCUACGGGAGGCAGCAGUGGGGAAUAUUGCACAAUGGGCGAAAGCCUGAUGCAGCGACGCCGCGUGAGGGAUGAAGGCCUUCGGGUUGUAAACCUCUUUCAGCAGGGAAGAAGCGGCCGGGUUUUCUUGGUUGUGACGGUACCUGCAGAAGAAGCACCGGCUAACUACGUGCCAGCAGCCGCGGUAAUACGUAGGGUGCAAGCGUUGUCCGGAAUUAUUGGGCGUAAAGAGCUUGUAGGCGGUUUGUCGCGUCUGCUGUGAAAUUUCGGGGCUCAACCCCGAACUUGCAGUGGGUACGGGCAGACUAGAGUGUGGUAGGGGAGACUGGAAUUCCUGGUGUAGCGGUGAAAUGCGCAGAUAUCAGGAGGAACACCGAUGGCGAAGGCAGGUCUCUGGGCCACUACUGACGCUGAGAAGCGAAAGCAUGGGGAGCGAACAGGAUUAGAUACCCUGGUAGAAUCACUAGUGAAUUC